UUUGCCAACCACAACGCUAUGAGACUAGAUAUCAAUUACAGGAAAAAAUCUGUAAAAAAUACAAACACAUGGAGGCUAAACAACAAACUACUACAAAGCCAAGAGAUCACUGAAGAUAUCCGAGAGGAAAUAAAAAAAUACCUAGAAACAAAUGACAAAACAGGACGACCCAAAAUCUAUGGGACACAGCAAAAGCAGUUCUAAAAGGGAAGUUUAUAGCAAAACAAUCCUACCUCAAGACAGAAGAAACAUCUCAAACAACCUAACCUUACAUCUAAAGCAAAGAGAAAGAAGAACAAAAAAACCCCAAAGUUAGCAGAAGGAAAGAAAUCAUAAAGAUGAGAUCAGAAAUAAAUGGAAAGCAAAUGAAAGAAACAACAGCAAAGGUCAAUAAAACUAAAAGCUGGUUCUCUGAGAAAAUAAACAAAAUUGAAAAACCAUUAGCCGGACUCAUCAAGAAAAAAGGGGAGAAGACUCAAAUCAAUAGAAUUAGAAAUGAAAAAGGAGCAGUAACAACAGACACUGCAGAAAUACAAAGGAUCAUAAGAGAUUACUACAAGCAACUCUAUGCCAAUAAAAUGGACAACCUGGAAGAAAUGGACAAAUUCUUAGAAAAGCACAACCUUCCAAGACUGAACCAGGAAGAAACAGAAAAUAUAAACAGACCAAUCACAAGCACUGAAAUUGAGACUGUGAUUAAAAAUCUUCCAACAAACAAAAGCCCACGACCAGAUGGCUUCACAGGUGAAUUCUAUCAAACAUUUAGAGAACAGCUAAUACCUAUCCUUCUCAAAGUCUUGCAAAAUAUAGCAGAGGGAGGAUCACUCCCAAACUCAUUCUACGAGGCCACCAUCACCCUGAUACCAAAACCAGCCAAUAUGUCACAAAGAAAGAAAACUACAGGCCAAUAUCACUGAUGAACAUAGAUGCAAAAAUCCUCAACAAAAUACUAGCAAACAGAAUCCAACAGCACAUUAAAAGGAUCAUACACCAUGAUCAAGUGGGGUUUAUCCCAGAAGUGCAAGGAUUCUUCAAUAUACGCAAAUCAAUCAAUAUACGUAAAUCAAUCAAUUAACAAAUGCAGGAGAAAAACCAUAUGAUCAUCUCAAUAGAUGGAGAAAAAGCUUUCGACAAAAUUCAACACCCAUUUAUGAUAAAAACCCUCCAGAAAGUAUGCGUAGAGGGAACUUACCUCAACAUAAUAAAGGCCAUAUAUGACAAACCCACAGCCAACAUCAUUCUCAAUGGUGAAAAACUGAAACCAUUUCCUCUAAGAUCAGGAACAAGACAAGGUUGCCCACUCUCAGCACUCUUAUUCAACAUAGUUUUGGAAGUUUUAGCCACAGCAAUCAGAGAAGAAAAGGAAAUAAAAGGAAUCCAAAUCGGAAAAGAAGAAGUAAAGCUGUCACUGUUUGCAGAUGACAUGAUACUAUACAUAGAGAAUCCUAAAGAUGCUACCAGAAAACUACUAGAGCUAAUCAAUGAAUUUGGUAAAGUAGCAGGAUACAAAAUUAAUGCACAGAAAUCUCCUGGCAUUCCUAUACACUAAUGAAAAAUCUGAAAGUGAAAUCAAGGAAACACUCCCAUUUACCAUUGCAACAAAAAGAGUAAAAUAUCUAGGAGUAAACCUACCUAAGGAGACAAAAGACCUGUAUGCAGAAAAUUGUAAGACACUGAUGACAGAAAUUAAAGAUGAUAGAAAUAGAUGGAGAGAUAUACCGUGUUCUCGGAUUGGAAGAAUCAACAUUGUGAAAAUGACUAUACUACCCAAAGCAAUCUACAGAUUCAGUGCAAUCCCUAUCAAACUACCACUGGCGUUUUUCACAGAACUAGAACAAAAAAUUUCACAUUUUGUAUGGAAACACAAAAGACCCCGAAUAGCCAAAAUAAUCUUGAGAAUGAAAAACGGAGCUGGAGGAAUCAGGCUCCCUGACUUCAGACUAUACUACAAAGCUACAGUAAUCAAGACAGUAUGGUACUGGCACAAAAACAGAAAGAUCAGUGGAACAGGAUAGAAAGCCCAGAGAUAAACCCACACACAUAUUGUCACCUUACCUUUGAUAAAGGAGGCAGGAAUGUACAGUGGAGAAAGGACAGCCUGUUCAAUAAGUGGUGCUGGGAAAACUGGACAUGUACAUGUAAAAGUAUGAGAUUAGAUCACUCCCUAACACCAUACACAAAAAUAAGCUCAAAAUGGAUUAAAGACAUAAAUGUAAGGCCAGAAACUAUCAAACUCUUAGAGGAAAACAUAGGCAGAACACUCUAUGACAUAAAUCACAGCAAGAUCCUUUUUGACCCACCUCCUAGAGAAAUGGAAAUAAAAACACAAAUAAACAAAUGGGGCCUAAUGAAACUUCAAAACUUUUGCACAGCAAAGGAAACCAUAAACACGACCAAAAGACAACCCUCAGAAGGGAAGAAAAUAUUUGCAAAUGAAGCAUCUGACAAAGGGUUAAUCUUCAAAAUUUACAAGCAGCUCAUGCCGCUCAAUAACAAAAAAACAACCCAAUCCAAAAAUGGGCAGAAGACCUAAAUAGACAUUUCUGCAAAGAAGAUAUAUAGACUGCCAACAAACACAUGAAAGAGUGCUCAACAUCAUUAAUCAUUAGAGAAAUGCAAAUCAAAACUACAAUGAGAUAUCAUCUCACACCAGUCAGAAUGGCCAUCAUCAAAAAAUCUACAAACAAUAAAUGCUGGAGAGGGUGUGGAGAAAAGGGAACACUCUUGCACUGCUGCUGGGAAUGUGAAUUGGUAUAGCCACUAUGGAGAACAGUACGGAGGUUCCUUAAAAAACUACAAAUAGAACUACCGUAUGACCCAGCAAUCCCACUACUGGGCAUAUACCCUGAGAAAACCAUAAUUCAUAAAGAGUCAUGUACCAAAAUGUUCAUUGCAGCUGUUUUUACAAUAGCCCGGAGAUGGAAACAACCUAAGUGUCCAUCAUCGGAUAGAUGUAUAAAGAAGAUGAGGCACAUAUAUGCAAUGGAAUAUUACUCAGCCAUAGAAAGAAACGAAGUUGAGCUAUUUGUAAUGAGGUGGAUAGACCUAGAGUCUGUCAUACAGAGUGAAGUAAGUCAGAAAGAGAAAGACAAAUAUCGUAUGC